UGUAAAGGGGUGCGGCCAGGAGAAGGGGGAAAAGAACGAACCCUAGUUCUUGAUCAUUCCUACAAGAUUCAUCAAAUUCAGCCUUAAGUUUAAGUGAUUCUAAUGCAUGCUUGAUAAAUUAGAGUCUACAAAUUCAUCUCAUCAUAAGGUAUGUUGAUAAUCUAGUGUAUGAAGAUGUAGUGAUUCCUGAUGAACCUUAUGAGGUAUAACUAAAGUAGAAAUUGUUGGAAAUUUUGAUAGAAAUUGUAGUGUCUAUAUGAUUCUAGACAAACCUUUGAUGAAUAAAGGUAGAAUAAACACUAUGAUUAAGUAAUAGGAUAAUUUGCACUAGUAUGUGUAAGUGGGUUUUGUCAUAUGAUUUGAAUCCAUGAAGUAGGAGGGUUAAAUUGGGUAUAUGAACUCAUAACAAACUUAAAAUUUGAUGUUAAGGCAAUCAUAACAAAUAUACCUUCUUGUUAAUAAGAAUGUAUGGUUAGAGAGAUGUCCAAUUAUAACACCCCAAAUUUGGUUAUAUUUAUUUAAUGUGAUCAUGACUGUAUAAGCUUGUAUUGUCAUAUCAUUGAUUUGAUGAUACUUAAUAGCGUGUGGUUGAUGAAUAGCCUUACUAUUAGUUUUGCGUCAUGUGAUCCCUAAAAGGUUAAUGAUCAUUUGUUAUGAUUAUAUGAAUUAAAAACAUGACAUUUAUAGUCAAUUGAAUUUAUGAUAGUUUUUUUAAGAUGUGGUUUGUUAGCAAAUCUAACUUGUUUAAAAGAAAAGUUAUAUUACAAAGUUUGGGGUUUAUUAGGGAAUUGAACAAAAACUAUAAUACACGGUAUGUAAGAAAUAAAAUAUGAGGAGUGUUAAGUGGCUAUGAGCCAAACUUAAUUAAUUACCUGGACACCAAAUUGGAAGCCACAUUUACAUCUUGAAGGAUUUGGAAGUCUUGAAUUGAGACUAUGGCCGACAUGAGAAAAAGAGGAGGAACAAAAUUGGUUUCUUGAUUCUACAUCCCAGCAAGUUAAUCCUCAAAUUCUUUAACGGGUAUGCUCAUCUAAAGACAAUGAAGUGAACUCUUUUAAAGUGGGAUGUAUGAAAUCACAAUCCAAAUAUAUAUAUGAAGAGUUAGAGAUCAGUGAUUGAGGAUUUCAAUCAAGGAGACGAAGAUUCUAGUGGCAAAGGAUCACGUGGCCAAGUGCAGCUUUUUGAUUAGUAGUUCUUCCACUGACGAAAUUAGUAUUGGUGUCGUCGUGCCCACUCAUAUUUUCCAAAGGUCUUGCCUUGAAAUUCGAGUGUGAUAUACAUCGACGUCUAUGGACGUAUAAUUUAAGUUUCAUGUGUUUUCUGGUGUACUAGCACAACUUUACAUGCUUCUUACGUGCGUUAAUAAUUUAUGGUAACGUAUUGGAAAUUCUUAUACUUUUGAUGGUGUCCCAACUUAAAGGGUUUUCCAUUGUUUAUAUUGUCGCAUGAGUUACGAG